rnacentral:rRNA from 1 species
UGCGCAGGCGGAAUGAUUAGUCAGUGGUGAAAGCCCUCGGCUCAACCGAGGAACUGCCAUUGAUACUGUCAUUCUUGAGUACAGUUGUAGUGGGCGGAAUGUGUCAUGUAGCGGUGAAAUGCAUAGAGAUGACACAGAACACCGAUCGCGAAGGCAGCUCACUAAGCUGAAACUGACGCUCAGGCACGAAAGCGUGGGUAGCGAACAGGAUUAGAUACCCUGGUAGUCC